rnacentral:rRNA from 1 species
UGAGGAAUUUUGCGCAAUGGCCGCAAGGCUGACGCAGCAACGCCGCGUGGGUGAUGAAGGCCUUCGGGUCGUAAAGCCCUGUCAGGUGGGAAGAAAGGUUUCAAGGAGAAACACUUGGGAUUUGACGGUACCACCAGAGGAAGCACCGGCUAACUCCGUGCCAGCAGCCGCGGUAAUACGGAGGGUGCGAGCGUUAUGCGGAAUUCCUGGGCGUAAAGCGCGUGUAGGCGGGGAUGCAAGUCUGAUGUGAAAGCCCUGGGCUUAACCUGGGAAGUGCAUUGGAAACGGCAGUUCGUGAGUACUGGAGAGGAAGGGGAAAUUCCCGGUGUAGAGGUGAAAUUCGUAGAGAUCGGGAGGAAGACCAGUGGCGUAGGCGCCCUUCUGGACGGUAACUGACGCUGAGACGCGAAAGCGUGGGGAGCAAACA